GAUGAACGCUGGCGGCGUGCCUAAUACAUGCAAGUCGAGCGAACAGACGAGGAGCUUGCUCCUCUGACGUUAGCGGCGGACGGGUGAGUAACACGUGGAUAACCUACCUAUAAGACUGGGAUAACUUCGGGAACCCGGAGCUAAUACCGGAUAAUAUAUUGAACCGCAUGGUUCAUUAGUGAAAGACGGUUUUGCUGUCACUUAUAGAUGGAUCCGCGCCGCAUUAGCUAGUUGGUAAGGUAACGGCUUACCAAGGCAACGAUGCGUAGCUGACCUGAGAGGGUGAUCGGCCACACUGGAACUGAGACACGGUCCAGACUCCUACGGGAGGCAGCAGUAGGGAAUCUUCCGCAAUGGGCGAAAGCCUGACGGAGCAACGCCGCGUGAGUGAUGAAGGUCUUCGGAUCGUAAAACUCUGUUAUUAGGGAAGAACAAAUGUGUAAGUAACUAUGCACGUCUUGACGGUACCUAAUCAGAAAGCCACGGCUAACUACGUG
rnacentral:rRNA from 1 species